GAAGUUGCAGCCUCAAGGUUCGUCUCGUCACAAUUUCAGCAUUAACACGAUGUUCUAUUUUACUCCUAGGCUCACAAGGGGCGGUCGGACGGACUUGAAGCCAAAGUAGCAAAAAUCAUGCCUCGUAGUUCAUAUCAUGCCGACAUUUACUUACGGAGGACAUACUGAGUUUGGUUUGUGAGCAUAAAGGUUGGAAGCACCUGCUGGCAUGUCCUUUUGCUAUGAGAAGUAUCACCAUCAUAUAUACCAAUAUUUAAGUCGGCAUCAAAUUCUUUUGUCACGUGUAACAAAGACCUUAGUUGAUCUUGAGCUAAUGCCUUUUGUUGGAAAUAUGUACAACGCACACGAGGAUGAAUUCUUAAGCAACUCUUCUAGAACAAGCAGGUCGUAGCAAACAGAUUUGCCACUUGACGUCAUUGUAGCCACAACAACAUUGUUUCAUCAAAAUUUUCUCUACCAACCGCAGCAUCUCUCUCUGCAGUAUUUUUGCAAGCUGUUUCUGUAAUCAUAAUAGUAAUAAUAAUCUUCACAUUCCAUCAUUAUCCAUUGGAAGGUCCAUCAAUCUUUCUCCUUUUAGUAUUUGGACUAUGUCAUGUAGCAUAAAAGCUAGUGUAGGAUUGGGACCUUUUUGUAAGAACAACAUGUAAUGUCACAUUUUAGUAUCAAUGCUUAUUCUCAUGGAUAAAUACUAGCAAUGUAUUGAUAUGGAAA